AUGCCUGUUAUGAAGGGGUUUCCCGCUCCUGCCGGGCAGCACUUCUGCAGCGCUCUGGCGAGUCAGGGCCUCUCACACAUCCCCUCACUCCUCCACUCCUCUGUCCCUCACUCAUCCAGCCCUCUGUCCCUCACUACUCCAGCCCUCUGUCCCUCACUACUCCAGCCCUCUGUCCCUCACUACUCUAGCCCUCUGUCCCUCACUCCUCCAGCCCUCUGUCCCUCACUACUCCACUCCUCUGUCCCUCACUACUCCAGUCCUCUGUCCCUCACUACUCCAGCCCUCUGUCCCUCACUACUCCACUCCUCUGUCCCUGACUACUCCAGCCCUCUGUCCCUCACUCCAGCCCUCUGUCCCUCACUCCACUCCUCUGUCCCUCACUACUCCAGCCCUCUGUCCCUCACUCCUCCAGCCCUCUGUCCCUCACUCCAGCCCUCUGUCUCUCACUCCAGCCCUCUGUCCCUCACUCCACUCCUCUGUCCCUCACUACUCCAGCCCUCUGUCCCUCUGUCCCUCACUACUCCAGUCCUCUGUCCCUCACUACUCCAGCCCUCUGUCCCUCUGUCCCUCACUACUCCAGUCCUCUGUCCCUCACUACUCCAGCCCUCUGUCCCUCACUACUCCAGCCCUCUGUCCCUCACUACUCCACUCCUCUGUCACUCACUCCAGCCCUCUGUCCCUCACUCGUCCAGCCCUCUCACUCCACUCCUCUGUCCCUCACUCCACUCCUCUGUCCCUCACUACUCCAGCCCUCUGUCCCUCCGUCCACUCCUCUGUCCCUCACUACUCCAGCCCUCUGUCCCUCACUACUCCACUCCUCUGUCCCUGACUACUCCACUCCUCUGUCACUCACUCCAGCCCUCUGUCCCUGACUCGUCCAGCCCUCUGUCCCUCUGUCCCUCACUACUCCACUCCUCUGUCCCUCCGUCCACUCCUCUGUCCCUGACUCCACUCCUCUGUCCCUCACUACUCCAGCCCUCUGUCCCUCACUCGUCCGGCCCUCUGUCCCUCACUCCAGCCCUCUGUCCCUCACUCCAGCCCUCUGUCCCUCACUCGUCCGGCCCUCUGUCCCUCACUCACUCCACUCCUCAUUGUGGCCUCACCGGCCUUCCGGUGGUCAGGAAUUGA
rnacentral:lncRNA from 1 species